AUGCACGCUGGCGGCGUGCUUAACACAUGCAAGUCGAACGGAAAGGCUCCUGCUUGCAGGGGUACUCGAGUGGCGAACGGGUGAGUAACACGUGGGUGAUCUGCCCUGCACUUCGGGAUAAGCCUGGGAAACUGGGUCUAAUACCGGAUAGGACCACAUUUUGGAUGGUGUGGUGGAAAGUUUUUCGGUGUGGGAUGAGCUCGCGGCCUAUCAGCUUGUUGGUGGGGUAAUGGCCUACCAAGGCGUCGACGGGUAGCCGGCCUGAGAGGGUGUACGGCCACAUUGGGACUGAGAUACGGCCCAGACUCCUACGGGAGGCAGCAGUGGGGAAUAUUGCACAAUGGGCGCAAGCCUGAUGCAGCGACGCCGCGUGGGGGAUGACGGCCUUCGGGUUGUAAACUCCUUUCGCUAGGGACGAAGCGCAAGUGACGGUACCUGGAGAAGAAGCACCGGCUAACUACGUG
rnacentral:rRNA from 1 species